AGAACGUCGCGAGACAGUUCGGUCUCUAUCUGCUGUGGGCGUUGGAAAUUUGAGAGGAGCUAACUUUAGUACGAGAGGACCGAGUUGGACAGCCCUCUAGUGUACCUGUUGUGUCGCCAGAUGCAUUGCAGGGUAGCUACGGCUGGUUGGGAUAAGCACUGAAAGCAUAUAAGUGCGAAGCCCACCUCAAGAUGAGAUUUCCCUUAAGGGUCGUUCGAGAUUAGAACGUUGAUAGGCUUCAGGUGUAAAGGUGGUAACAUCAUAGCCGAGAAGUACUAAUUACCCGUGGCUUUCUAA
rnacentral:rRNA from 1 species